AAAUUGGAUCGAUACAGAGAAGAUUAGCAUGGCCCUGCGAAAGGAUGACACGCAAAUCCGUGAAGCGCUCCUUAUUUUC
rnacentral:snRNA from 8 species